ACGAAGUCUUUUGGGAGCUUGCUUUUGGAAGACUUAGUGGCGGACGGGUGAGUAACACGUGAGCAACCUGCCUAAUAGAGGGGGAUAACGUCUGGAAACGGACGCUAAUACCGCAUAAAAUAAUCGGAUGGCAUCAUCUGGUUAUCAAAGGAGCAAUCCGCUAAUAGAUGGGCUCGCGCCCGAUUAGAUAGUUGGUGGGGUAAAGGCCUACCAAGUCGACGAUCGGUAGCCGGACUGAGAGGUUGAACGGCCACAUUGGGACUGAGACACGGCCCAGACUCCUACGGGAGGCAGCAGUGGGGAAUAUUGGGCAAUGGGGGAAACCCUGACCCAGCGACGCCGCGUGAGUGAAGACGGCCUUCGGGUUGUAAAGCUCUGUUUCGGGGGACGAUAAUGACGGUACCCCGGGAGGAAGCCACGGCUAACUACGUGCCAGCAGCCGCGGUAAUACGUAGGUGGCAAGCGUUGUCCGGAAUUACUGGGUGUAAAGGGAGCGUAGGCGGGGACACAAGUUGGAUGUGAAAUACCGCAGCUUAACUGCGGGGCUGCAUCCAAAACUGUGACUCUUGAGUGAAGUAGAGGCAGGCGGAAUUCCUAGUGUAGCGGUGAAAUGCGUAGAUAUUAGGAGGAACACCAGUG
rnacentral:rRNA from 1 species